CAGUCGCCACGGUAAUGCGUAGGUGGCAAGCGUUGUCCGGAAUUAUUGGGCGUAAAGGGCUCGCAGGCGGUUUCUUAAGUCUGAUGUGAAAGCCCCCGGCUCAACCGGGGAGGGUCAUUGGAAACUGGGAAACUUGAGUGCAGAAGAGGAGAGUGGAAUUCCACGUGUAGCGGUGAAAUGCGUAGAGAUGUGGAGGAACACCAGUGGCGAAGGCGACUCUCCGGUCUGUAACUGACGCUGAGGAGCGAAAGCGUGGGGAGCGAACAGGAUUAGAUACCCCUGUAGUCCCUGUCUCUUAUAC
rnacentral:rRNA from 1 species